GCUGGUGCCACAGGGCCUUCAGACUGGGCCACCUCUCUGUGGUGACGUGUGACAGUGACACCUCCACAUCCCAACUUCUCCAAGGUCAGAUGGUGCCUCUGGAAUCUCUGGGGUGACAGUGACACCUCCAUAUCCCAACCUCUCCAAGGUGCCUCUGGAAUCUCAGGAGUGACAGUGACACCUCCACAUCCCAACNCUGGAGAAAUCCAUGGGAAUUCAGGGGAAGGGAAAGGUUUUCCACUAGAGAAAUCCAUAGGAACUAAGGGAAAGGUUUUCCCUUGGAAAAAUCCAUGGGAAUUCAGGGGAAGGGAAAGAUUUUCUCCUGGAGAAACCCAUGGGAAUUCAGGAGAAGGGAAAGGUUUUCCACUGGAGGAAUCCACCAGAAUUCAGGGGAAGGGAAAGGUUUUCCCUUGGAGAAAUCCAUGGGAAUUUAGGGAAGGUUGUCCACUGGAGAAAUCCAUGAGAAUUCAGGGGAAGGGAAAGGUUCUCCACUAGAGAAAUCCAUAGGAACUAAGGGAAAGGUUGUCCCUUGGAGAAAUCAGUGGGAAUUCAGGGAAAUGGAAAGGUUUUCCACUGGAGAAAUCCACGGGAAUUCAGGGGAAGGGAAAGGUUCUCUAUUGGAGAAAUCCAUGGGAAUUCAGGGGAAGGGAAAG
rnacentral:lncRNA from 1 species